GACGAACGCUGGCGGCGUGCCUAACACAUGCAAGUCGAGCGGGGAUUACCCAAUGAAGUUUUCGGAUGGAUUUGAGUAAUUCUAGCGGCGGACGGGUGAGUAACGCGUGAGCAACCUGCCUAUCACAGGGGAAUAACGCAUCGAAAGGUGUGCUAAUACCGCAUGAGACCACAGAGGGACAUCCCUUAGGGGUCAAAGAUUUUAUCGGUGAUAGAUGGGCUCGCGUCUGAUUAGCUAGUUGGUGAGGUAACGGCCCACCAAGGCGACGAUCAGUAGCCGACCUGAGAGGGUGAUCGGCCACAUUGGAACUGAGAAACGGUCCAAACUCCUACGGGAGGCAGCAGUGGGGAAUAUUAGGCAAUGGGGGGAACCCUGACCCAGCAACGCCGCGUGAAGGAAGAAGGUCUUCGGAUCGUAAACUUCUAUCCUUGGUGAAGAUAAUGACGGUAGCCGAGAAGGAAGCCCCGGCUAACUACGUGCCAGCCGCCGCCGUAACAC
rnacentral:rRNA from 1 species